rnacentral:rRNA from 1 species
UACGGAGGGUGCAAGCGUUAUCCGGAUUCACUGGGUUUAAAGGGUGCGUAGGCGGUCAAGUAAGUCAGUGGUGAAAUCUCCGGGCUUAACCCGGAAACUGCCAUUGAUACUAUUUGUCUUGAAUACUGUGGAGGUCAGCGGAAUAUGUCAUGUAGCGGUGAAAUGCUUAGAUAUGACAUAGAACACCAAUUGCGAAGGCAGCUGGCUAGACAAAUAUUGACACUGAGGCACGAAAGCGUGGGGAUCAAACAGG